rnacentral:rRNA from 1 species
UACGGGGGGGGCAAGCGUUGUUCGGAAUUACUGGGCGUAAAGGGCUCGUAGGCGGCCAACUAAGUCAGACGUGAAAUCCCUCGGCUUAACCGGGGAACUGCGUCUGAUACUGGAUGGCUUGAGUUUGGGAGAGGGAUGCGGAAUUCCAGGUGUAGCGGUGAAAUGCGUAGAUAUCUGGAGGAACACCGGUGGCGAAGGCGGCGUGCUGGACCUUUUCUGACGCUGAGGCGCGAAAGCUAGGGGAGCAAACGGG